rnacentral:rRNA from 1 species
GUGGGGAAUCUUGCGCAAUGGGCGAAAGCCUGACGCAGCCAUGCCGCGUGAAUGAUGAAGGUCUUAGGAUUGUAAAAUUCUUUCACCGGGGACGAUAAUGACGGUACCCGGAGAAGAAGCUCCGGCUAACUUCGUGCCAGCAGCCGCGGUAAUACGAAGGGGGCUAGCGUUGCUCGGAAUUACUGGGCGUAAAGGGCGCGUAGGCGGACAGCUUAGUCAGAGGUGAAAGCCCAGGGCUCAACCUUGGAAUUGCCUUUGAUACUGGCUGUCUUGAGUUUGGGAGAGGUGAGUGGAACUCCGAGUGUAGAGGUGAAAUUCGUAGAUAUUCGGAAGAACACCAGUGGCGAAGGCGACUCACUGGCUCAUUACUGACGCUGAGGCUCGAAAGCGUGGGGAGCAAACAGGAUUAGAUACCCGUGUAGUCC